rnacentral:rRNA from 1 species
GAUUAACGCUGGCGGCGUGCAUAACACAUUCAAGUCGAACGGGUGUAGAAAUACAUCAGUGGCGGACGGGUGAGUAACGCGUGAGCAAUCUACCUUCCAGUGCGGAAUAACAACCGGAAACAGUUGCUAAUACCGCAUGAAAUGGCAGUACCGCAUGGUACAACCAUCAAAGGCUUGCUGCUGGAAGAUGAGCUUGCGUCUGAUUAGAUAGUUGGUGGGGUAGCGGCCUACCAAGUCGACGAUCAGUAAGCCGGACUGAGAGGUUGAACGGCCACAUUGGAACUGAGAUACGGUCCAGACUCCUACGGGAGGCAGCAGUGGGGAAUAUUGGCAAUGGGCGAAAGCCUGACCCAGCGACGCCGCCGUGAGGGAAGAAGGUUUUCGGAUUGUAAACCUCUGUCGACAGGGAAAAUGAUGAUGGUACCUGU